rnacentral:rRNA from 1 species
CCUACGGGUUGCAGCAGUGGGGAAUAUUGCACAAUGGGCGCAAGCCUGAUGCAGCCAUGCCGCGUGUGUGAAGAAGGCCUUCGGGUUGUAAAGCACUUUCAGCGGGGAGGAAGGCGGUGAGAUUAAUACUCUCGCCGAUUGACGUUACCCGCAGAAGAAGCACCGGCUAACUCCGUGCCAGCAGCCGCGGUAAUACGGAGGGUGCAAGCGUUAAUCGGAAUGACUGGGCGUAAAGCGCACGCAGGCGGUUUGUUAAGUCAGAUGUGAAAUCCCCGAGCUUAACUUGGGAAUUGCAUUUGAAACUGGCAAGCUAGAGUCUUGUAGAGGGGGGUAGAAUUCCAGGUGUAGCGGUGAAAUGCGUAGAGAUCUGGAGGAAUACCGGUGGCGAAGGCGGCCCCCUGGACAAAGACUGACGCUCAGGUGCGAAAGCGUGGGGAGCAAACAGGAUUAGAUACCCUCGUAGUC